UCAGUGAAUCAUCUUCACGUUUCUCAGUCAGGUCUUGCUCAUCUAAAGGAGAAGAUUCCACGAGGAAAAUCUUGGUGACAACAGAGCUCUGCCGUCCAUCACUGUGUUAGGAGAGAAAAAAUGCAUGACCUUCGUACAAUAAGUUUAAGAAACACCCGGCUCUGUUAAAUGAACCUACCCGGUGACUGCCAUGGCUCUCACAGACACUUUUCCCACAGGGGUGCAGGAGUCGAUUUCAUGCUUAGCUUUCCCCGGAGGAGGAAUGCGAAUGGGAAUUAUUUGUGGGGCUGCUAGUGAACCUGCAGUCAUGUUUGCACUCUUCUACCUGACAGCUGGACGUGAUAUCGGUGUGCGUCACGUAACCCAUAGCAACCGUGUGAACCACUGG